ACUGCUGGAGCAGGGGGGCUGUUUGUUAGUCAGGUGGGGGAUGCUCCUUUUCCUCAUGAGAGGAGGCUAGGCCUCGCACCACCCUCCCUGGACACUGGCCUCUUGGUCUCCUCCCUCCACACACCCACUUAUUUCCCUAACCUUCCUUCCCAAUGGGGCUUGAGGGACUAUUUAUAGACUUCAUUUUUCUGACUGAGCCAGUAAUGGUUUCUAUCCUCUAGGGGAAAGAAAAGAAACUGGGGUAGCUUGUAGGAGGAGGGGCCCAGAGAGACACCCCUGUACCUCUUCUCUAGUCCCAGCCUGCAGCUGGGGAUGGGAAGAGAGGUGCUGAGCUGUGACUGCAUUAACCCCACCCUGGGGAGGGCGGGCGCACUGCUGAUCCACAUUGGCUCCAUGGAUGAGAGCCCUCCCCUCGGAUUGGGGCCCAUACAGCAGGGGUGAUCUUGUGGGGUUUUUUUCCUCCACAUUUUGAGAUUUUUGUGAUAAAUGGGAUGUGUGCCCACCCCUGAUGCCUGUCCACGUUGUCUAGACUCCACCUGUCCACGGUUCCUUUGAUCUAGGCUGUGAACCCAUCCUUGUCUUCCCCCACUGUGUGUUUAAACCGUUAAUGGUUUGGGAUGUGAACGUGUGUUGACUAGCUGUAAAGGUUUUUGGGGUGGGUGGGUGGGAAAGGGAUCCUGAAUGGUAGAGGCCAAGUGAGAAUUCGGUUUGGUUUUUUGUUUUGUUUUUUUUUUUCUAUUUUUUUUCCCAAAAAGAAAAGGGAGGGGGGAAAGUGGGUGCAUUUUUUAAGCUGUCUUGAAAUACCUAUUUAAAUGUGUGUUUUGGUUUUUUUAGGAUUUUUUUUUAAGCUGCCUGUGAUAUGUCCGCUGGGCUGAGGGUGGAGACCUCAGGCAGGAGCCCACCCAUAGUUCUCUCUUCCCUGUGAAGACAUCCCCAGAUAGCAUUAGCCACCCUCGGGGGGAGGGGGAGAAUCCGGCUAUGGGGAAUCCACCUCGCCCAAGUCUCCUUUUAUUGAAAUAAAAUUUGAGGGGAAAAGAAAAACCUUACACGAGCACCGAAUUUCAAAUAAAUGAAAACGAGACAUGAACUCU
rnacentral:lncRNA from 1 species